rnacentral:lncRNA from 1 species
ACAUAAGGCUUCCCCUCAUCUACUCAACUUGCCUGGGAGUCUGGUUACAUAUGGUCCCAAAAAGAGAGGUAGAAAUCAAGGUGGUGUUAGAUGGGAUGUGAAGCAUGACUAAGGCUGGCUUGAUAAAAUUUCUUCUGAGUUUGUACUCACUAAUCAGAAAAGACAAAAGGGCAAAAAUUUGUCCUGGUAAAAUUCUAAAGCUGAAUAGAUGAAGUCUUUUUAAGGCAUGGUCUCUGAUUCAGAGAGUGUAAGAUAGGACAAACAGCAGAAGAUAACAGAGGAAGGGUACUGGGAACUGCUUCUCCCCCCCCCCCCCGCCCCCAGUUUUUCUAACAAGUGAUUUAUAAUGAUUUCCCUCCACAUCCCAUACCCCCAUCAAGGUUUAGAUGAUAGCUUUGACUAUCCCACUCACUUGUUCCCAGGGAGACUUGAGAGGAUUUGACACUCAGAGAGAAAUUUAAGUAUUUCAUUAAGCUCUUGGAUUUGUGUGGGCUUUGUACACUCAGAGAAAAGACGGUCUUUGUGUUCCUGAGAGAAGUGUGGAAGAGGCAUGGAGGAAGAGAGAAUUUCAGGCUUGCGAAACAAAGCUGGGGACAUGAUCUGUCAGUCAAGAAGGAAGAUCAGGCCUCAGAACUGUCAUAUCUAAACCUGAUGUCUGUGACCAAAACUUUUUUGGAAAUAAGACUGGUAGCAUGUUUCUGGUGUCUGGACAAAUACUGUGAAGCCUGAGGUUGCCAGGACUGCAACUCAAGAGAGAAAUACCAGAAUGCCUCCACACAUAUUACUAGUUCCUUCCCUCUGGGAUUACCUCCCAUUUACACUAUCUAUCUAUCUAUCUAUCUAUCUAUCUAUCUAUCUAUCUAUCUAUCUAUCUAUCUAGUAUGUUCUGGGUAUUUGUGUAAUGUCUCUUCCCAUUAAAAUGUGAUCUCUCUGAGGGAUGGGAGUAUAUUUUUUAACCUUUCUUUGUAUCCCUAGUGGCUAAUGUAGGGCCUGGCACACAGUAAUGGUUUAAUAAAUGCUUAUUUGAUUGGUUGAUUAAGAAGAGA